rnacentral:rRNA from 1 species
CAGCCGCCACGGUAAUACGAAGGGUGCAAGCGUUACUCGGAAUUACUGGGCGUAAAGCGUGCGUAGGUGGUGGUUUAAGUCCGUUGUGAAAGCCCUGGGCUCAACCUGGGAAUUGCAGUGGAUACUGGGUCACUAGAGUGUGGUAGAGGAUAGUGGAAUUUCCGGUGUAGCAGUGAAAUGCGUAGAGAUCGGAAGGAACAUCUGUGGCGAAGGCGACUAUCUGGGCCAACACUGACACUGAGGCACGAAAGCGUGGGGAGCAAACAGGAUUAGAUACCCCCGUAGUCCCUGCCUCUUAUAA